rnacentral:rRNA from 1 species
GGCCUAUUUGAUAUAAAUAAUAGGUCUAUUCUGCCCAUUGAUUAUAAUUUAAAGGCUGCAGUAUAUUGACUGUACAAAGGUAGCAAAAUCAUUUGUUUUUUAAUUGAAAACUGGUAUGAAAGAGUGAAUGAAAUAUAGAUUGUCUCAAUAUAAAGAAAUUGAAUUUAAAUUAAAAGUUAAAAUGCUUUUAUGUGUUUAUAAGACGAUAAGACCCUAUAGAAUUUAAUAAAAUUUAUUUUUUAAAAUUGAUUUAUUAUAAAAAUUUAAUUGAUAAAUAUAUUUUAUUGGGAGGAUAAUUAAAUUUAUUUAACUUUAAUAAUUUAAAAACAUAGAUUAAUGAGUUGUUUGAUUAUUAUUAUAAUUAUUAGAAUAAAUUACCUUAGGGAUAACAGCGUUAUAAUUUUGGAGAGUUCAUAUUGAUAAAAUUGUUUGCGACCUCGAUGUUGAAUUAUGAUAAAAUUUAAAUGGAGAAAUUUAAGUUUUUAGUCUGUUCGACUAUUAAAAUCAUACA